rnacentral:rRNA from 1 species
GACGAACGCUGGCGGCGUGCCUAAUACAUGCAAGUUGAGCGCUGAAGGUUGGUACUUGUACCAACUGGAUGAGCAGCGAACGGGUGAGUAACGCGUGGGGAAUCUGCCUUUGAGCGGGGGACAACAUUUGGAAACGAAUGCUAAUACCGCAUAAAAACUUUAAACACAAGUUUUAAGUUUGAAAGAUGCAAUUGCAUCACUCAAAGAUGAUCCCGCGUUGUAUUAGCUAGUUGGUGAGGUAAAGGCUCACCAAGGCGAUGAUACAUAGCCGACCUGAGAGGGUGAUCGGCCACAUUGGGACUGAGACACGGCCCAAACUCCUACGGGAGGCAGCAGUAGGGAAUCUUCGGCAAGGGACGAAAGUCUGACCGAGCAACGCCGCGUGAGUGAAGAAGGUUUUCGGAUCGUAAAACUCUGUUGGUAGAGAAGAACGUUGGCGAGAGUGGAAAGCUCAUCAAGUGACGGUAACUACCCAGAAAGGGACGGCUAACUACGUG